CGUGGAGAACCUGCCGUAUACUGGGGGAUAACACUUAGAAAUAGGUGCUAAUACCGCAUAAGCGCACAGCUUCGCAUGAAGCAGUGUGGAAAACAAAAAGCUAAAGCUUUUGGUGGUAUACGAUGGAUCCGCGUCUGAUUAGCUAGUUGGCGGGGUAAAGGCCCACCAAGGCGACGAUCAGUAGCCGGCCUGAGAGGGUGAACGGCCACAUUGGGACUGAGACACGGCCCAAACUCCUACGGAAGGCAGCAG
rnacentral:rRNA from 1 species